GCGAAAUCAGAGGAAUUUAUUUCUGGUGAUAGAUAUUACUUUCUCGAUAUGGUUCGGAUCCCACAAUAAGCUGUUGGUUCCGUUGCUAAGUUACCAACUGGUUUCUAGCCACGUAAAAAAAAAUAUCUAAUCCUUCGGGCCAGCCCUUUAUAGGAGAGCUGUUAAUCAGCUCCUUGGUGGUCUGGUUAAACUAAGAUAUACUUUGGCGUCAUCAUCUGUUGCUGUAAGGUGCAGAAUGGUAGUUAAUAUUCAUUUUGUCAGGUUCGUAUUUGUUGGUGAAGCUUCUGUGUCGUCUAGAGAGAUCCCAUUUCCGAAGCUGAUCUUGUAUCAUUGUAAGUUAUAGGUACGUUGCUGGAUACAUACAGGAAUUCCAGCCUUUUUUCCUAAGUCUCGGAAUUAAUCUCAUUAUUAUUUUGGGCCUGUGAUUCAUAGCAGAAUUUUUGGGAAUUUUUGCUCUGGACCGUUUCAGUUCCAGAUCACUGUAAUGCCAUGAUCGUCAACCAGGUAGGAUUCCUUUCAGAAUUGAAAAAUGUGCAAGAUUGCAAGUUUCGAUAAGUAUAGCGUAGAUGGUAAUGCAUUAAAAGAAUUUAGAAUUUCUUAUAGUAAUGAAAAUGAAACUUGAGAUUGGUCACCCGUGUAUAACAAAUGGACCCGGGACAUACGUACUUUAUACCUCGAGUGACUUGUUCGUCCGUUAUUAUUCCCGCAGCCUGGAUCAUUGAGAUACAAAGCUCGAGAUACCGACUGUAACCCCUCCUGGUAUUUAGGAGGCAAGCGGGACAACUCGUACCUCGACCAACUUGUACCCUACCAACUCGUACUUUCACCAACUCGUACUUUUGCCAGCAUGUUAAAAUUCAAAGUUACUAUCAUACUGUUAUGCCGGUAGACUAUGCAAAGGUACGACAUGGUUAAGGUACGGGUUGGUCAAGGUACAAGAUGACAACUUGUACCUCGACCAACUCGUACCCUACCAACUCGUACUUUCACCAACUCGUACUUUUGCCAACUCGUACCUUUACAUAUAUAUGAAUAAAGAUUGAUUACAAUAUUUUCAAGGAAUAUUUUGUGCAUUUAAUAAAAAAAAUAAGUAUUUUCAAUAAUUAAAAAUUGGAUUAUAUAUUUUAUAUAUAUAUAUAUAUAUUUAUUAUAAAAAUAACUUAAUUAGUGGUUCAUUACUGGUGUUUUUGUAAUAAUUAACACGUGUAUAACAGUAACGAUUGUUUGGGGUUAAUUACCUAUUUUGAUCUUUUAUGUAAAAACAAUGAAGACCUAUUACUAAGCGGCAAGCACGUUUCAAGAGCUCUUGAAUAAUUCUUGUACAAGCAACAUAUACCAUCUACAAAGGUCUAAGGGCUGUGUAAACCAAGCUAAGAGAAGGGAUAUAUAUACAGAACGAAUCAAAAAUGUUCAUAUUUCGAAAACAUGGUUCGUCCUCGGUGUAUAGAAUGUAAAAAGACAGUAACUGCACGACAAGAAGCUCUACACUGUGACACCUGUAAUGGUUGGCAGGAUCGUCACUGUGACACUGGUAAGUCUUUGUGUAUAUAAUUACUAAAAGAUGCCCGCGAAAUCGCGGCAUGCAAACAUUUUGCCAAGUCCGACAGAAAGAUUAUGAUGAAAUUAGUAAGGUUUUGUCCAGUACUUUCAAAAUGUUUUAAAAGCCAUCAACUAUAUUUUAGGUGUGUCUAAGGAGCCGUUUACGCAGCUACUGACCAUUCAUGCCUUUAUCACUGCCAACAACAGCACCAAGAUGGUCCCUCUUGUGUUCGUCAUGAUGUCGAGACGACGAAAGAUUGACUAUAUUCCAGUGUUUCAGGCUGUUAAGGACCUUCUUCCACAGACCAGUGUGUGUGGCUUUGUUGCGGACUUUGAACCAGCAGUGUGGCAGGCUCUCCGCCAGGUCUUCCCAGCAAAGAUGAUCAAUGGGUGUCUGUUCCACUACACCCAAGCUGUCUUCAGACACGUCCAGGAGUUUGGACUAUAGCCUGCCUACCGUCAGCAGGACGUCGUCUUUAAAUUCACAAGAAAACUGAUGGCUCUUCCGUUCUUACCAGGGGAACAUAUCCGCCCAGCGUUCAAUAAGUUAAAGGAACAGACCAGCACUCCAAGGGAACCACUCGUGCAGUACAUCAACGACACGUGGAUUACUAGUACAGUUUGGCCAGUGGAGUCGUGGACAGUAUAUGCAGCCAACCAGGACGAACAACGACGUGGAAGGCUGGCAUCGACGUAUCGACAAGAAAGUGGGUGACGAGAAACAGCCAUUCUAUCUUCUCAUACCAAAACUACACGCAGAGGCCUCCCUCCUGCCAGUACAGAUGAAGAUGGUCUCUGAGGCCAAGCUUACCAGACACCAGAGGUCUUCAACAAAAUGCAUUCAGGCAAAGUUUUUCGAUCUGUGGGACCAGUACAGCCGUAAGACCGUCACACCCAGCAACCUUUUAUGUAGUUGUGGCCAGUUAAAUGGAGCAUCUCCUGAACUUUAAAGACACUUUUGUCAACUGACUUUGUGGUAUAUUUGAUAUAUUAACAUUUUGAUAUAUAUGUGUGUGUAUUAAUUAUUAUGUUAAAGAUGUUAAUGUUGCAAUAAAGACUAAAAACCUUACGCUUUCUUUAUAAUUAAUUUCCAAUUGGUGGGUUGUGCCCAACAUGUUAAAAUUCGAAGUUACUAUUAUACUGUUAUGCCGGUAGACUAUGUAAAGGUACGAGUUGGCAAAGGUACGAGUUGGUAGGGUACG